rnacentral:lncRNA from 1 species
UUAGCAGAUAAACCAGUUCCCAUAAUUGAAACCAUCCAACAAUUCUGAUAAUCGCGAAUGAAAAAUCUGUAAAACCAAGACAUAAUUUGUUUGAACAAGGUUCUAUAGCAAAGAAGAGUGCUAGACAAUAAUGAUUUCUUUGUAAACCAUAAGAUGCUAAAUUGAUGGUUAUUGAAAUUUUCAGCAGUCCUUUUCACAUAAGAAAUUCUAUUAAUCAAUAAAGUCUUAGAAUUUUCAUUAUGUACCCAGAUUUUUUUAUAAUUUUUUUUUAAAUAUUGCCUAAAAUUAGAUGCCCACGUUGAUAAUGCAAAAUUUUUCACGCCAUGGUUGUUUAUUCGUUCUUCUUACGUGACGAUGUUUGACUGUUGAAUUGCGACAUUUUUUUACUUAAAAAUAUGAUACACAGUGGCACUCUAUUGAUUAUUUUUCUUCAUUUUUUUGUAUUUGCAAUGUAGUUUUAUAGUCUUCAGUAGUAUAGUAAUUCAGGUGGUCUUACCUUUGGGUUCUUUGACAUGAUUAUAGUGUUCAGUAUAUUUCCUUAGGUUGGUACAAGGAGCGCGUAGGCUGGUUGAUGCCCAACCAAGUAAUCAUGGUUGAAAACAGUUUUUAGACAGUUAAGCAAAUAUCCUGCCUUUUUGA